rnacentral:rRNA from 1 species
UACGAAGGGGGCUAGCGUUGCUCGGAAUUACUGGGCGUAAAGGGCGCGUAGGCGGAUAGUUUAGUCAGAGGUGAAAGCCCAGGGCUCAACCUUGGAAUUGCCUUUGAUACUGGCUAUCUUGAGUACGGAAGAGGUAUGUGGAACUCCGAGUGUAGAGGUGAAAUUCGUAGAUAUUCGGAAGAACACCAGUGGCGAAGGCGGCUCACUGGCCCGAUACUGACGCUGAGGCACGAAAGCGUGGGGAGCAAACAGG